ACAGAAAGGCAGUUCAAUAGAAGGAAAACCUUUCUCACUACUCAAAGUAUCCAAAAUUAGACAUGUCCUGAAGUUAUGAAGUCUUCCAAGAGAGGCUAAAUGGCCUCUUAUUGAGGAUGUUAUAAAUAAGAUUUGUGAAUUAGGCCAAACCUAAUGAGUUUACAAUUCUAGAUUUAUAAUUUGUCUGAAGAGAUACUGAACUAUUUUCUAGUUAUGCAGUAUUUUUAUGAAGAAACUGAGGACAUUUGAUGCCCAUGAAAACUCUUUACCGAGCCACUUAGUUUGAGCAAGACACAAUGGGUUCUCUUUUCUUCUGCUUGUCUACCAUACUUCUCCCAUAGCCCUCCCCUCUUUGUCACCAGUUCCCCAAAUACCAAGUCUUGCAAUUGGUCAAAAGCCUGGUCUCUGUUUCUUGAGGAGGACCUGAGGUCUGCCGUUAGGACUCUCCAGCAAGAAGAAAGAGAAGUUCUGGGGAAGAUGAGAAUCCUUUUCAGGUCACAGAAUCUGGAAUCCCAGU
rnacentral:lncRNA from 1 species